GUCCACGCCGUAAACGAUGUCAACUAGCCGUUGGGUCUAUUUAUAGACUUAGUGGCGCAGCUAACGCAUUAAGUUGACCGCCUGGGGAGUACGGCCGCAAGGUUAAAACUCAAAUGAAUUGACGGGGGCCCCGCACAAGCGGUGGAGCAUGUGGUUUAAUUCGAUGCAACGCGAAGAACCUUACCUACCCUUGACAUCCAGAGAAUCUGUGAGAGAUCGUAGAGUGCCUUCGGGAACUCUGAGACAGGUGCUGCAUGGCUGUCGU
rnacentral:rRNA from 1 species